GACGAACGCUGGCGGCGUGCUUAACACAUGCAAGUCGAACGGAAAGGCCCUGCUUUUGUGGGGUGCUCGGGUGGCGAACGGGUGAGUAACACGUGAGUAACCUGCCCUUGACUUUGGGAUAACUUCAGGAAACUGGGGCUAAUACCGGAUAGGAGCUCCUGCUGCAUGGUGGGGGUUGGAAAGUUUCGGCGGUUGGGGAUGGACUCGCGGCUUAUCAGCUUGUUGGUGGGGUAGUGGCUUACCAAGGCUUUGACGGGUAGCCGGCCUGAGAGGGUGACCGGCCACAUUGGGACUGAGAUACGGCCCAGACUCCUACGGGAGGCAGCAGUGGGGAAUAUUGCACAAUGGGCGGAAGCCGGAUGCAGCAACGCCGCGUGCGGGAUGACGGCCUUCGGGUUGUAAACCGCUUUCGCCUGUGACGAAGCGUGAGUGACGGUAAUGGGUAAAGAAGCACCGGCUAACUACGU
rnacentral:rRNA from 1 species